rnacentral:tRNA from 1 species
GUCAAAUUGAUUUUAUAAUAAUAUUAGCUUUGGGAGUUGAAGAUUUAUUUUAAGUUUACA